CGAGAUAACGAUGUUCAGAUGUACCUGGUGGUAGUGAUACAUAUUAAAUAUGCCGCAUUAUCCUACUUUGUGGUGAUUGUAUUAUAAAGCUAGUCUGAUUAUUUAAACCUUGAUGUAUAAUGAAAUCAAUGACCAGCUUAUCUCGAGAUUGAUCCUAAUGGAAUUGAUGUCACGUGGUGUUCGGUCAUUUAAUCCAUUGUAUAAAAAUAAUGUAUUUUAUACAUUUCAGUAAUAUACAUGACUGUCCAAUCUGACGAAGUUCUGACAAAUACACUUGGAUGGCUUUAACUAGCGGACGACUAUCAUAACGUAUCUUAGCGACCCUUAAUGGGGACUGGGUGACAUGCUGUAUCUUGUAACCUAGAUAAUAAUGUAUAUUGUUUAUUUAAUAUAAAUAUAUAUAUUGACGCGUAAAUGUGUAUGAUUCUCAAAAUUUGUACAUUUUUGUCCUUGUAGUGUUGUGUCAGUCAUAGAAUAGUAUUUGCAAUUAGAUUGGGAGUCAGUGGUUUCGUAAUACAAAGAAAACUGUAACGUAAGUCAUACUGGCCGGAUUAGAGGUGUACAUUAUGUAGUUAUAUUGCUGUAGCGUAAGGCGCACUGGCCAGAUAAGAGGUACAUGUAGUUAUAUUGCUGUAGCAUAAGACGUACUGGCCGGAUAGAGGUAGUUAUAUUGCUGUAGCAUAAGACGUACUGGCCGGAUAGAGGUAGCGUAAUUGUUGUAUCCAGUUUAUUAUGUUUUAUUUGACCUUUCUGUGAUAAAACUCUCCUUUUAGAAAUAGUUCCACGGAAAGGAACCUGUUUGUGUUUUGUGAUUGAAUAUAUUGACUUGUUUAGUUCCGAUUUAGCAUACAAUAGAAUAAUUCAAAUAUGUAAUCAUAACUAAAAAUAGGCCAGAAUUAAUUAAGCUAGAGAGAAUGUGAACGAAAUUUUGUACAAAUACAAUGAACAACUGUCGUGUCGGGCCAUGAUACUCUGAACAGGAAGUGACUGGUACUCCAAACACGACCAAAGGACAUGUAAACGAUAUGGACGUCAUACUUGAGCUAUCUAGAUGUUAGGGUAAUUAAACAUUAAAGAAUAAUUACCUGUAAUGAUAAUCAUAUCAUCUAUGAACGACAUCUUCAUCCAUCUGUCUUUGUGGACCUCGUGCAAUAUAGAUGCUUCCGAUUAGCUUUAAUCGGUGUUAAGCCCGACAGUUGUUUGUAGGUACAUGUAUUAAAAACAUUUUACAUGGAAGAAGUGAUUUUGAUCUAAUAAUCAUGUGUAUGUACAUGUUCUUGAGCAUAUUAAGUAAAAUGUAUUAUUUAUAUAAAUCUAACUUGUAUUUACCGAGACAAUCUCUCGAUAGCACCUGACGUGAGGAAUCAGACAGUGUUACAUGAGUUAUAUAAAUGAGUAUAAGUAAUGAUAAGUUUGUGUUUUGAGAUGUUAUAGUGUAUUAACUGUACAUGUACAUGUAUAUGAGUGACGAAAAACGUCACAAGCUGAAAAUGCACAGUACGCUUGUGUAAAUCAAACUUAGCCCACACUGAUUGGUUGAGUCAGAACUUGUUUAGCUUUCUUUAGUAUUAAGACUUAAAAUAACAAGACUCGAAAUUACAACAGAUAAAACGGUUAUUUCGUUACUACAUAAGCAGGAAAAUGAAACUCUUGUUCCAUUAACGGCAUUUGGUGUAUCCUAAAGGUUUCCUAAUAUGAAAAAGAAAAAUCUUUAAAGUUAUUCAAAUACAAUACGAUAUCACGGAUUUAAAUAGAGUACACAUGCAUGUUGUAGAGUUGGAAACUCCACGAACGGAACUCGGAACUGGUGUGGUGUUUUACUGUAUAUUAUGUAUUUUAUUACCUUACCGCCCAGCGAUAACUUGAGUCAUUUAGGGCCAAAUAUGAAAGCGAUAUUGAACUUGUGUGUGAUUAAUAUGAUCGUAAAGGAUGUACAUGUAUGAAAUUCGUAAGGUGUGACGUGAUAUAAUUUACGUUAAUCUUGUAAGGAUGAUAAACAUUUAAUUUGAUUUUCACUUCCAAGUAAAAACAUACCACCAGAGUGGAACGAAGGGAAGUAACUGGGAUAUUCGUAGAGAGUUAGAAUAAAACUCAUCACCAAGGACACAGGGUUUUAUUUAAUGCCAUUUUAUUGAGAUGCUUUCGUAAAUGUGUAAAAUUACCACUGAUGAACGUAGUUAAGUAGGAGAGAAGGUUUGAGCGAAACAUAGUGUGUAUGUGUGCACGUGAGUGAGCUGUUAACGACACGCAUGGUAUGGUACGUAUCGAACCCAAUGUGUGCGUGUUCAGUAUUUUUUUUUUUGCUAUCCACUGAUAUUAUUAUGUGAAUACUGUUGAUCUAUCGAGUAUACAUACAAUAUAUGUACACAUCUAUCGGUAUACAAUGAACCUUAAAUGAAGUGGUUUCUUGAUAGUGGCAUCUUGUAUGAAAUCUCAUCCCUUGUCAUUCUUUAUAUCAUUUGUCAUGUUAUGGCAGUACGCACUAUGUGUAACUAGUAAUAUAUCACUCCCGUUAAGGGAGUUGACGACACCUUCAAUUUGAUGUGUAAACAGUUUUCAUGCAUUUUUCAUAUCUAUGUGUCAAGAGUGUAUUGAAUAUCAUCUCAUUCAUAAUUUAAAAACGCUAGACAUGAAAUCACCAUGUUUUAAUUAUCUAAAUAGGACUGUGUGAGAGAGGAAAUGCAUUAAUUUUCUAAUUGAAGCUUAAUUCAUUUAUCAGUAAUAAUAUUGGCCCAUCAUGAUUGUGACGUCAUUAUGUACAUGUACGCAUCACGAUAUGACUAUAUUGUUAUGUGUCAGUUCGAAAAAAAAUAAAUCUUACCAAACAAAUUGAA